CGGGGGAGGCCGGAUCCUGGGCUGUGUCCCUGGCGCCCUGUGCUCCCAGGCCUGUGCUCCUGGAUUCAGCUCCCAGCUGGGCAGCCCUCU
rnacentral:pre_miRNA from 1 species